rnacentral:misc_RNA from 1 species
GUGAAUCAUCAAAUCUUUGAACGCAAAUUGCACUCCCUGGUAUUCCGGGGAGUAUGCCUGUUUGAGGGUCGUUAGAACAAAAAUCGAAGCGUCGCUCUUUUUUUUAAGGGUGAUCGCGUCGGAAUUGAGCCGGCUUUCAAAUGGUAAUGCAUUGCAAAAUGGCUUUAAAUUCAUUCAUUCGGGACGAUUAAAGCGGAUUUAAAAUCAAUUUUGAUUAAAAAAGCGCGAUG